ACCAAACAGAAAAAGUAACACGGGUGCUCGCGGAAGAGGGGAGGCCGUGCGCGCGCGUGCGCGGCCGUUUCUAGGGCAACAGGGAGGUUUGGGGCGCGCGCCAGCGACGGAUCGCCGGCGUCCACACGGGCGGGAGGUUCGAAUCCCGGCGCUGCCCACGCUGGCCGCGUGGUUGCGCCUCCUUCUUGUCGCGCCUCGGCUUCCUCCUCUGUGAAAUGGGGAGCGCCUUUAGACCCACGCACUUGGCCGGGAUGCUUGGAAGGGUCCAGGUUCAACCGAGCUCCUGAUGGAAAGUUUCCUUGGGUCCUAUAGAGGACGCAGUAAAUGCGAGGGGGUAGCGUUGCUACUGGUGGUAAUAGUAUAGCGCGCCCCGUGAUAAAUUAUAGCCUGCUUUCUGCCUGCCGCCCGGCUCUGCGGGGCCUUGUUCUCCACCCUUUUAAACUUAAGUUCAGAUUUCACCUCCUCCAGGCAGCUGAGUCUGGCUUCCUGGCCUAAUUAGGCAGCCUCUCGGCCCCAUGAUUGGCCUUUUACUUAACACCAGAGCCAGUCCCUUGACCUUGAGCUUGAGGUCCUCGUUUGUAAUUAACAGUAGCUUCCACACUCCACGGCACUGACCUCACGCUUUUUGCCGCUCGGUUCUCCCGACAACUCAAAUUCCUGUGUCAUUUACUGAGGAGGAACAAAAGUUCAGAAAGGUCAGUUUCAUCCAGUUUUCAAAUGGCAGAGCUGAGGCUUUCAAAGUCAGCUUCCUCCAGCUUGGUGUGUUAUCCAAACUCUUGACCAUAAGAAGUGCUCGGCGUGUGUUUGUUGAAUGAGGGAGCUAACUGAUCGCCUCUCGCCCCUCCCAGCCUGGUUUUCUUGCAGAACCCAAGGCCCUUCGUGAAAUGCAAGCUUCAUGGCACGUGGGCUUACCUUUCACAACUGUCCUCCAGCUUCAUCUGAGCCUCCCGAUUCAUACUGAAAGCAGCUGUAGUGUCACCAGGAGAAGACAAUUGGAGCUUACGUUUGCUGGCCGUUAGGUGCCACUUCCCCGCCACCCAGAGCCACUUUUCUUGGCUUCUUCAGUUCAAGCCAGCAGCUUUGCAUGGUGCCCCCUACAUGGCAGGCAGGGAUAAAGAGCCAUUCACGUUUUGGUCCUGCCCUCAUCCUGGUGUUGUGACAGAUGCAGGCUUUGUGUGGCACGGAGUGACAGAGCGGAGUGGAGGGUUGGGCCCCCAAGUCCACAUGCUUUCUCAGUGUUGACAUAAGAGCGUCCAAAGCUGUAGACAAUUUUUAUAAUUUAUUUGAACCAAACAGGAGAUGCCUAGAAGCAAGAUCUCAACAGGCUGAGAAAAAUGGUUUCAACAAAUGAUAGUUUUCAGCUUCUUUUAUAGAUUUGAAAUUGAAGAGGGAACAUAAGGAAGAUUACAUGACUGUGGGAGAAACCAAGGCUGGGUUUGGAUUACAGCAGGGGUUCCUCCCCACCCCACCCCACCCCGGGGCUGUGGACCAGGAUGGUCUGUGGCCUGUUAGGAACCGGGCCGCACAGCAGGAGGUGAGCGGUGGGCUCUGUAUUUGCAGCCACUCCCCAGUGCCAGCAUCACCUCCUCAGCUCCACCUCAGAUCCUCAGGCAUCAAAUUCUCAUAGGAGCACAAGUCUUUGGUGCCAAACUGGCUGGGAACUGCUGGAUUCCAGGGUAGUUACAGGGUAGUAACAAGAUUAUGUGUUCUCUUGAAGGGGUGGUGACACUUUAAAGGCAGGGGUCUGAAAGGGGGCAUUUCCAAGGUGUGUUAGCCUAGAUGCACAGAAACAAGGAACAGGGCUUACGGCACAGAUAAGCCUUUCACCAAAGAAGUUUCAGGCCUGGGGCGCAGACUAUGCCAGGACCUGCCUAGGAGGGAAUUUAUGGUCAGAUCAUCCUGUGAGAUUCCUUUCCAUAGAACUCCUGUUGGUCCACAUUUGAAAAAGCGACUUCUUGAUUUGGUGCCUCCCCUCUCUCAACUCACUGAGCCACUGGUGAGUCACAGAACUGACUGCCCACCUCUCCUCUCCUGGCGUUGACCUAACAGUUUUCAGUAAGAAACCCGGGCAUUCGUGGUAGUUUCCUUCACUUUCCAGCUGUACUAAAUGAGAAAUGAUCAUAUUUUUAAAGAUGUUGCCGUCAAACUGUGGUCAGCUAAUUUCUGAAGCGCUUCCUCUUUUGCGUGACUGUCAGGUUAAAUUGGAGAGGCGGUGCAGUAACUCACAGGAUGGAGUCGCGUAUGGUCGAUGAGGUCCAGCUUUUGGAUGGUAAACUAGCUGAGAUGGUCAUCUCUGGCAAGCGUCAGCUUCAAGAGCUGGAACAGGUGGGCGGGUGGAAGGAGCCUGCUCUGGGUACGAGAUCUGCUCUUCACCAGAUUCCGGACCUGCUCCGAGUCACGUAACAGCAGCCUGUCCCCUGCUCUGGUGGGGGCAGGGCACACUGUGACACUGUUACCCACCCCUUCCCUACCUGGAUCCAGCCUCUCCAUCGCGUAGCUCAGUACAUUGUCUCUACUCACUUCUUGAAAACAUUUGUGGAUGGAAAGGUGGGAUAGAUUUUGAUUAAAUUUUUAAAAGAAAAAAUCUGGGAAUGAAGCAAAUAGACAUUAAAUAUUUAUUGCAGAAUUGAA